rnacentral:sRNA from 1 species
AGAACAUUACAAAAAGUUUUACAUCAUGCCUGUUUCUUUUUAUCCACCAAAUAUAACUACAAAAUCUACUCAAAGAUUGAGUCUUCCAAUUGGCAUUUUGUAAAUACCGAUAUACCAUUACCUCCUCUCCAAUUAUAAAUAUUCAAUUCUCUCACAAAAAAGACAGUCCGCAAGAUAGUGCUAGUAGUAGCAUUUACUCCCGAUUCCGCGAACCAAGACCGGCAAGCAAACAAUCACAACAGCGCUUAAGCCUUGGUUGUAACAAAAAGCAAAAUCCAUAUCCCGCUACGCCUUGAUCUCACUGAGCCCUUCAUAGGAGGGGAAAAGAUCCCUCCCUGGAAGUCAGACCAUGGCACCGGCCGACUCCUCCGCACCACACUCAUCCUCCAGUACCACCACUACAGCAACCCAUCCCGUCCGCGAUCGCAAAGCCGACUAUGAGAAAUUCAAAAACUUCGCCGCUUAUACCUUCCUAUUUGCAUCACCCGUUUUCAUCGCUCUGCCGCCGCGCAAACUAGAUUUUUACACCUUCAGCCUUGGCGCUGCGUUUCUCGUGUCCGCAAAUCGCAUCUCCUCCAUACACACAGGGAGCAGUAUAGUGGGACACCUCCGGUCGCGCACAGUCGGCGAGAACCGGCCGACUGUGUUCCGCGACCUGCCUACGCCGCAGGCGGAGGCGAUGCAGGCACAGCUGCGCGCUGUACGGGAGGCUGAGAUGCGGGAAGGGAAUAUUGUAGGUCAGGAGCUGGAGAGGUGGAAGCAGAGACAAGCGGAGGAAAAGGAGAUGAAUAUUGUGCAAAAGGUGU